rnacentral:rRNA from 1 species
UCAGCCAUGCCGCGUGAGUGAUGAAGGCCUUAGGGUUGUAAAGCUCUUUCACCGGUGAAGAUAAUGACGGUAGUCGGAGAAGAAGCCCCGGCUAACUUCGUGCCAGCAGCCGCGGUAAUAACCGUGGGGCUAGCGUUGUUCGGAAUUACUGG